rnacentral:ncRNA from 1 species
GCCCUACUGACGGAUUGAACGGUAUCCGAUAGCGAGAAUCGGGUAGGGC